AGUGGCGAACGGGUGAGUAACACGUGGGGCAACCUGCCCAAAAGAGGGGGAUAACACUUGGAAACAGGUGCUAAUACCGCAUAACCAUAGUUACCGCAUGGUAACUAUGUAAAAGGUGGCUAUACUACCGCUUUUGGAUGGGCCCGCGGCGCAUUAGCUAGUUGGUAGGGUAAAGGCUUACCAAGGCAAUGAUGCGUAGCCGAAUUGAGAGGUUGAUCGGCCACAUUGGGACUGAGACACGGCCCAAACUCCUACGGGAGGCAGCAG
rnacentral:rRNA from 1 species